rnacentral:rRNA from 1 species
CCCUUAGAUGUUCUGGGCCGCACGCGUGCUACACUGAGUGGAUCAGCGGGUCAGGUUGCGCGAAAGUGUUUCCUAAUCUUGAAAUCCGCUCGUGAUGGGGAUUGACGGUUGCAAUUUUCCGUCAUGAACGAGGAAUACCUUGUAAGCGCGGGUCAUCAUCCCGCGCUGAAUACGUCCCUGCCCAUUGUACACACCGCCCGUCGCUCCUACCGAUUGAGUGGUCCGGUGAGGCUUUGGGAUCUGAGCGGAAAGAGCGUUUCGCUGUUUCUGCUCGGAAAACUCAGUCGAACCUUAUCAUUUAGAGGAAGGAGAAGUCGUAACA